ensembl:lncRNA
CAAAGUUAAGACUAAAGCUUGCCCACAUUAAAGAUGUUUCUAACAUCUUAAAUGAAAUGUUUUAGCAAUGCAGAAAACAGAUUUCAGUGAGUUACUAGAUUUAUGAUCAUGAACCAACACAGUCUCACCCCUAUUCGUCACAUACUGCCGUUUGGUCAUUUCCCCCUCACGUCCAUAAGCCGACCCCCACGAAAAUGUAUAGUCACCACACCAAUGAAUGAUUUUAACAGUAUUUGCGCCGCACGCUACUACAAAAUACACAUUUGCAGCAUAAAAUCAAUCACCUGAAACCAUACUUUCCAGCGCAGGCAAACCGCUGGAUGGAUAACCCCAUUUCGUCAAAAUUCAAAGAUGAGGGAUUUGCACUCAAAUCUAUCAGACGACCCUCUACGUUGUCAAGCGACGAAUAGGGGGUACCCUCAACGUCGGCUUAUGGACAUGAGGGGGAAAUGACCAAACGGCAGUAUGUGACGAAUAGGGGUGAGACUGUGUUGCCUAAAACAAACUGAUUUUAUAGAAUUUAGAAUUUAUUUUGAGUGAUACUGUGCCUGUCAAUGCUGUUCAGCUUUAGAUCUCUCCUAGCAUCAUUACCUGCCGAUUUCUGCCUUAUAUCAGAGCAGACACUUGCAUGUCUUGGUCCAUCAGGAACUGCAUACUCCGCUUUAGACCCUCUAGCUCACACCAAGAGCUGCUUGGGACUUCUGAGCUCUGUAAAACCAACUGAUUAUUACUGAACAGUUACAGUAAUAUCAGUAACUAAAUCAGACACAAGAAUUCUGUGACAUCAACUUACUUGGACAAGUUGAACAUCCAAAACCUUGUUAAUUCGAUCCUCGAUCAAGGAGUAGCUACCAUAUUUGGCACAGUGUCCAGGAGAAUCUGAUCUAAGAACGUCAAAAACAGUUACAUUUAGAGGUUAAUGCAAAAACACACUGACCUGUUCUACAUCAGUGACGUGAGCUGGACCAUUCUACCUGCAGUCACCAGACAGGAUCAAUCCACCCCAGUCUCCUUCAACUCCCUGAUGAUCCCCCUCUGCUCAUUCCUCCAGGCCCGCACAAUGGUAGGGAUAGUGUAAUAGCGCUGAUGGCGGAAAAAUUGCCGGGACUUAUGCACUGCAGUCCAAACAGCUUCAGCAUCCUGAUUGUCUGAGUAGCCAUGCAACCUGAGAAGUGGAUGUUUCGAUGCACCUUCUCUUGGUUUUGCCAGUAACGCUCAUAACCUCAAGUUCCGCAGGCCUGAAAGAUGAGAGAAGAUUCAAUACUCAAGCAGCUUUAAAAUUAGGCAGUGAAAUACCUGUAUAGUUAAGACAGAAAUAAUUAAUACACAUACUGUACAUUCACAGACUAUAAUUCAGCUCCUCACAGACAGUUGACAAAUAAG